AUUGAACGCUGGCGGCAGGCCUAACACAUGCAAGUCGAACGAGUGGCGGACGGGUGAGUAAUGUCUGGGAAACUGCCUGAUGGAGGGGGAUAACUACUGGAACCGGUCGCUAAUACCGCAUACCAUCGGAUGUGCCCAGAUGGGAUUCGCUAGUGGGUGGGGGAAAGGCUCAUCUAGGCGAGGAUCCCUAGCUGGUCUGAGAGGAUGACCAGCAAAACGGGAACGGAGAACCGGUCAAGAGUCCUACGGGAGGAAGCAGUGGGGAAUAUUGAACAAGGGGCGCAAGCCUGAUGCAGCCAUGCGGAGUGUAUGAAGAAGGCCUUCGGGUUGUAAAGUACUUUCAGCGGGGAGGCGUUACCCGAAGAAGAAGCACCGGCUAACUCCGUGCCAGCAGCCGCGGUAAUAC
rnacentral:rRNA from 1 species